GACAGUUCUGCGCGAUAGGCAGGACCAACUUGUGAAUUAAACCAGCUGGCGAACAAUGAAAACUACACAGAUAGCGAUUGGUGCCAUUGCCCAAAAGCCCGCCGAGUUAAAUCACUGAGCUGGUGCCCGGUAGCUGGAGUUUCUACCCUGCCAGACGCAAGAUAAUGGGCCGUACUUAUAAAAGGUGCCUAGGACGAAAACUUUGCCUAAGACGCAUAUUUUGCCUAGGAAACGUUAGGACCUACUUAUAAAAGCUUUUGCGUCCUAGGAAUUUGCCUAACUCGAGAAAUUCCUAUGUCAAGUAUGGAGGUGGCCUAGCGGUGUCAGGUAGCGCCUAGGACAGAAAAACAUGGCGCCGUAGAAGACCGCAGACGUCACCUGAAGAUUUUUCGUCCUCGGAAAGACGUGCUGUGUGAUUAUAACGACGAAAAACUCGUCAAGAUGAAUUGCUUGGAUCGUGCACGGGUCAUAUUUGUGACAGACAUGUUACGAGACGCCCUUCAAAGUCCGACACAGAGGAACACCUGAGAUGAAGGUGGUGAUUUUACUAAGACAGGUGAUGGAAGUCCUCAAAUGUCAUCUUGGCAAGAUCCUGCAAUGAUGCAGAGGAUGGGUGCACUGGAAGUUAUUGUCCCUCUGCAGCAGUUCGAUAUUCUGGCUUUCCUGCCAUAGCUUGCUGUACCAACUGUGGGAGAGAGGAGCAUACUGAUUUUUUUUUUUAUAUACUUAGGAGAGCAUAUUUUUGUUAUAAUAUGCAGGUUUGUGUUAUUUCAACCAUACACUUAUUAAUGAUUGACUGUAAUAUAACCAUACAAGGACUAAAUUAACCAAAACACAGGAACUAGGUGUAUGUCCCUAGUAAAACUUGGUAUCACGUUUACAAAUCUGCACUUCCAAGACUAGUCUGUUACUGCAUGUGUAUACAAUUAUUUUAUAUAUCUAAUUUGUAUUUAAGUGAAAUCAUUUGGUCCAAUAUGAAAAUAAAAUCUGUAAAGAAAUAAACAAGA